rnacentral:rRNA from 1 species
UGGGGAAUUUUGGACAAUGGGCGAAAGCCUGAUCCAGCAAUGCCGCGUGUGUGAAGAAGGCCUUCGGGUUGUAAAGCACUUUUGUCCGGAAAGAAAUCCUUGGCUCUAAUACAGUCGGGGGAUGACGGUACCGGAAGAAUAAGCACCGGCUAACUACGUGCCAGCAGCCGCGGUAAUACGUAGGGUGCAAGCGUUAAUCGGAAUUACUGGGCGUAAAGCGUGCGCAGGCGGUUUGCUAAGACCGAUGUGAAAUCCCCGGGCUCAACCUGGGAACUGCAUUGGUGACUGGCAGGCUAGAGUAUGGCAGAGGGGGGUAGAAUUCCACGUGUAGCAGUGAAAUGCGUAGAGAUGUGGAGGAAUACCGAUGGCGAAGGCAGCCCCCUGGGCCAAUACUGACGCUCAUGCACGAAAGCGUGGGGGAGCAAACAGGAUUAGAUACCCUGGUAGUCCACGCCCUAAAACGAUGUCAACUAGUUGUUGGGGGAUUCAUUUCCUUAGUAACGUAGCUAACGCGUGAAGUUGACCGCCUGGGGGAGUACGGUCGCAAGAUUAAAACUCAAAUGAAUUGAC